AGAGUUUGAUCCUGGCUCAGAGUGAACGCUGGCGGCGUGCUUAACACAUGCAAGUCGAACGAGAACAGAAGAGAGCUUGCUCUCUUGCUGCUAAGUGGCGCACGGGUGAGUAAUAUAUAGGUAAUAUGCCUCUUACUAAGGGAUAAUUGUUGGAAACGACUUGUAAUACCUUAUAUGCCUUUUGAACAUAAGUUCGUAAAGGGAAAGAUUUAUCGGUAAGAGAUUAGCCUGUACGGUAUCAGAUAGUUGGUGGGGUAAUGGCCUACCAAGUCUAUGACACCUAACUGGUUUGAGAGGAUGAUCAGUCACACUGGAACUGAGACACGGUCCAGACUCCUACGGGAGGCAGCAGUGGGGAAUAUUGCACAAUGGACGAAAGUCUGAUGCAGCAACGCCGCGUGGAGGAUGACACAUUUCGGUGCGUAAACUCCUUUUAUAUGAGAAGAUAAUGACGGUAUCAUAUGAAUAAGCACCGGCUAACUCCGUGCCAGCAGCCGCGGUAAUACGGGGGGUGCAAGCGUUACUCGGAAUCACUGGGCGUAAAGAGCAUGUAGGCGGGUGAAUAAGUUGGAAGUGAAAUCCUAUAGCUUAACUAUAGAACUGCUUCCAAAACUGUUCACCUAGAGUAUGGGAGAGGUAGAUGGAAUUUCUGGUGUAGGGGUAAAAUCCGUAGAGAUCAGAAGGAAUACCGAUUGCGAAGGCGAUCUACUGGAACAUUACUGACGCUCAGAUGCGAAAGCGUGGGGAGCAAACAGGAUUAGAUACCCUGGUAGUCCACGCCCUAAACGAUGUACACUAGUUGUUGCUAUACUAGAUAUGGCAGUAAUGCAGU
rnacentral:rRNA from 1 species